GACGAACGCUGGCGGCGUGCCUAAUACAUGCAAGUAGAACGCUGAAGAGAGGAGCUUGCUCUUCUUGGAUGAGUUGCGAACGGGUGAGUAACGCGUAGGUAACCUGCCUUGUAGCGGGGGAUAACUAUUGGAAACGAUAGCUAAUACCGCAUAACAAUGGAUGACACAUGUCAUUUAUUUGAAAGGGGCAAUUGCUCCACUACAAGAUGGACCUGCGUUGUAUUAGCUAGUAGGUGAGGUAAUGGCUCACCUAGGCGACGAUACAUAGCCGACCUGAGAGGGUGAUCGGCCACAAUGGGACUGAGACACGGCCCAGACUCCUACGGGAGGAAGCAGUAGGGAAUCUGCGGAAAUGGGGGAAACCCUGACCGAGAAACGCAGAGUGAGUGAAGAAGGUUUUCGGAGCGUAAAGCUCUGUUGUAAGUCAAGAACGGGUGUGAGAGUGGAAAGUACACACUGUGACGGUAGCUGACCAGAAAGGGACGGCUAACUACGUG
rnacentral:rRNA from 1 species